GCGGCGGCGCGGCCGGCGCGGGCCCGGGCCCUGCUGCAGCAGAGCCUCUCGGCCCGCCUGCAGGUGCGGCCGCCCGAGCGCGGCUGCGAGGCCCAGUGGGUGGAGAUCCAGAGAGGGCUUGUUAUCUACAUAUGCUUCUUCAAAGGUGCUGAUGAGGAUCUUGUCCCAAAAAUUGGUAUGAUAUAAUCCAUAUACAUUAUUGUAUUGUUUGAAAAAAGAAGAAAAGCAGUUGAGGCAGACAAGGUAGCAACCAUUUGGAUAAGCCAUAAGAUGGCAUUAUUCUAAAUCAAUUACCUGGCUGAAAGAACAGGUUGUCUGUUUCUUUUGACAGUUGUCCAUGCCUCUUUGUCUAUCUGUUCAUUACCAACCUAGAAAAGAAAUUUCCCCGAUCACUUUAUAGAAAACAAAGAAAAUGUUGCACCUUCUGUUUGUGGCAAUAGGCUCAGUCCAGGACAGAGCUGAAUUUCAAAUAGUUCAUGGCUUGAUUUGAUAGUAUUUUAACACUGAUCUGACUGUAUGUGCAGGAUAUUUAACAGCCGGUAGAGGGAGUUGUAUGGAUAAUGAAACAGUGUCUUUCCCAUCUCACUUCAGCAGUGCUUACAUACACUGUUAGCCUGUGCAGUUUUCUGGUUCAGAAGCAAUAACAGCAGCGUCUGCAAUUCUUACCUUCUUCUCCACAUGCACUUUAACAUUUACGUUGAAGCAGAGAAUAUGCUAUGGAUAAGGUCAAAUAAUAGCAAUUUUUGUCUUUACCCAAUGCUGUUUUGGCUUGAUUUUUUUUUUUUAAUUUUUUUUUCCUGUUUUUUUUUUUUUUUUUUUUUUAAUAUGUCAUUUCUUCUCCCUCCUUUCCUCCAUCAGUAGCACUGGUUCCCCUGGGAAAUUCUGUGAUGCCAUAUAUUCCAGAUAAAAAUGCCCCUUUUCUUCCCUGUGGCUGGCUGGUACUAGUGAUUUGGCUAAAGGUUGUGUAACAAUAUUUCACUAUUUCAGUCUGUUUCAGACUACUGGCUGGGACCAGUAGUGCACAGGUACAGGUGCUAUUAAAAAUGCUAAGAGCAACUCCUGGGGGUUCUCUCUUGGUCUUGAGGGGCACAGUCCUUCUGUAAUGCUAAAUAUUUAAAUAUGAUAUAAAAAUUUAUUUUGUGCUAAUAAGAUUUUGAUGAGAGUGUUGCUUGAGAACAAUUACAUUUUCAGCUAUGGGGCAGCUAAAACAGGCCAGAAAAAGAAAGUUCUGUUUCCUGUCAGGAGAUUCCUCUAGGACCAUCCUCCUUGAGUGCCUGUUUUAGAGAAUAUUGUUUCCUAAAUAUAUUUUGAAUCUGUUUAAGUGUGUGGGUCUGGUUCUUAAAUGACAACUCAGCUGUUUUUGCUUCUAACAACACUCCCCUGAUUCUAAACAUUUGUGUUUAGAGUUUGGAGGUAUGACUAGUAUCCUCCCACCUUUUACAGAGUUGGGGUAAUGAUUUGACUUGUUAUAGAAACAUGAGAAAAACUAAAGUUAGUAAAUGCAUUGAUUUUAUUUGCAAUUUUAUAUGUUCUGGCUUAUAAACUAAAUUGCAUGUGACCUUCCUGCCCACCUCCUGUGUCAAGUGACAAACUGGUUGCUGCAUGUCUAAAAGUGGAGAGCUGAAGGACACUUGCCCUACUUGAGACCAAACUGUGAAGCUAUGCCUUCAACUCGGUUCAGUGCUGGGUCCUGCUGCAAACACCUGCAACCAGCAUGAAAAGAGAGUCAGGGCAGAACACUCUCCAAAGUGCACUGAGGAUGCUGUGUCCUGUAAUGUGGAGUGUUGUGCAAAUGCUGCCUUUUUUGAAUAUCAAGCAAUUAAGGAAGGCUCACCAAUUGCAUCCUGGGUUCUUUUGGGGGUGUCCAACUAGAAUCAACUUUAGGAUUUCACAUAGCAAAUCGCUUCCCCCCAAAAUAGAACUUCAGACAUAUGCUGUUAAUAUCCUUCACAUUCCUCACAAUACUCAGACACAUUAGUUGGUUAAGUAUUUAUUGAUUGUCCACAUUCCAGUUCAUUAAUAAACAGUUUCUUUUACUCAGUGGUUUGUCACACAUCAAAACAUUUGUUGGAUCUUGUUCAUGAUGUCCUGUUUAAUUCACUUCAGUUAUACUAACUCUUAUUUUGCUUUUAU